GCCCCUAUAGUCUAGAUGGCCAAGGAUACGAGCCUCUCGCGCUCGAGACCCGGGUUCGAAUCCCGGUAGAGGCA
rnacentral:tRNA from 1 species